AUGGACAAAUCUAGUGGCAAACUCUUUCUUUCCAUCAAUGACAUUACGGUGCUGGUUCGUGAUUCUAUUCAUGAAACGAUUGUGCCUCUUUCCAUGCCUGAGGUUUGGCUCCGCCUCCACGGCAUUCCUAAGAAGCACCGUCGUGUCGAUCGUCUGAUGGAGGGUCUCAAGAUGCUAGGCAGGCCAAUCAUGCUGGACGAGCUUUCCCUCAUCCGGUUAGGGCCAGUGAGGAUGAAAUUUGGCUGCAAAGCCCCUGAAAAGUUGAACGGUUUCGUGCAAGUUUGGUUUAACCAUGAGGGUUAUGACAUCAAGGUUGAGGUGGAGCGGCUGCCGAAUCGCACAGGGGUCGGGCCAACUGCGCCUGGGCCCAGCGACGCUCCUUCCUGCCCCGCUGACAAGAGUGGUGGCCCGCCUGGUUCGGGGACCGGGGGGCUGCUGGACAGCAGUUGGUUGAGCCCGGUGCCCAGGAGUGUAGGGCAGUAUCAAUGGUGGCCAAGGUAA
rnacentral:rRNA from 1 species